CCCCAGUAACUGCGAGUGAACGGGGAACAGCCCAUCGUCGAAGCCCCCGCGGACCCCGCGGUGGGCAAUGUGACGAAUCGGGGUAGCCGAGACGUCGACCGGCGGGUCGUUGCCUCAAGUCCGCGUGACCGUGGCUCUCGCCCCGCGAGGGUGAAAGGCCCGUCGUGGCAACGACGAUUCCUCGCCGGCGGACUCGGUUUUGCCUCUGCACCCGAGUCGGAUUGCUUGAGAGUGUAAUCUUAAGCGGGUGGUAAACUCCAUCCAAGGCUAAAUAAUUCCACGAGACCGAUAGC
rnacentral:rRNA from 1 species